rnacentral:misc_RNA from 1 species
UGUUCGAGCGUCAGUACAACACUCAAGCUUAGCUUGGUAUUGAGCCACGUCCGCAAGGGCCGGCUUUAAAAUCAGUGGCGGCGCAUCUGGCUCUAAGCGUAGUAAUACUCCUCGCUAUUGAGUUCUGGUGGAUGCUGGCCAGCAACUCCCAAUUAUCUAAGUUUGACCUCGGAUCAGGUAGGGAUACCCGCUGAACUUAA